rnacentral:rRNA from 1 species
GACGAACCGUGCAAACGUCGUUCGGAAUCACUGGGCUUAAAGGGCGCGUAGGCGGUUUGCUAAGUCGGUGGUGAAAUACUUCGGCUUAACCGGAGAAUUGCCGCUGAAACUAGCAGGCUGGAGGGAGGUAGAGGUGCACGGAACUUCCGGUGGAGCGGUGAAAUGCGUUGGUAUCGGAAGGAACGCCUGUGGCGAAAGCGGUGCACUGGACCUCUUCUGACGCUGAGGCGCGAAAGCUAGGGGAGCGAACGGG